AACGAACGUUAGCGGCGCGCCUAACACAUGCAAGUCGAGCGAGAAGGAAGCAAUUCCUGUAAAGCGGCGCACGGGUGAGUAACACGUAGGUAAUCUACCUCGAAGUGGUGGAUAACCUUCCGAAAGGAGGGCUAAUACAGCAUGAGACCACGGUUUCGAAAGAGAUUGAGGUCAAAGCGGGCCACUAUACAUAAGCUCGCGCUUCGAGAUGAGCCUGCGGCCCAUCAUGGUAGUUGGUAGGGUAAUGGCCUACCAAGCCGAAGACGGGUAGCUGGUCUGAGAGGAUGAUCAGCCACACUGGAACUGAGACACGGUCCAGACUCCUACGGGAGGCAGCAGUGGGGAAUCUUGCGCAAUGGGCGAAAGCCUGACGCAGCGACGCCGCGUGAGUGAUGAAGGCCUCGGUU
rnacentral:rRNA from 1 species